rnacentral:rRNA from 1 species
GCGACGACGGGUAGCCGGCCUGAGAGGGCGACCGGCCACACUGGGACUGAGACACGGCCCAGACUCCUACGGGAGGCAGCAGUGGGGAAUAUUGCACAAUGGGCGAAAGCCUGAUGCAGCGACGCCGCGUGAGGGAUGACGGCCUUCGGGUUGUAAACCUCUUUCAGCAGGGAAGAAGCGAAAGUGACGGUACCUGCAGAAGAAGCGCCGGCUAACUACGUGCCAGCAGCCGCGGUAAUACGUAGGGCGCAAGCGUUGUCCGGAAUUAUUGGGCGUAAAGAGCUCGUAGGCGGCUUGUCACGUCGGAUGUGAAAGCCCGGGGCUUAACCCCGGGUCUGCAUUCGAUACGGGCUAGCUAGAGUGUGGUAGGGGAGAUCGGAAUUCCUGGUGUAGCGGUGAAAUGCGCAGAUAUCAGGAGGAACACCGGUGGCGAAGGCGGAUCUCUGGGCCAUUACUGACGCUGAGGAGCGAAAGCGUGGGGAGCGAACAGGAUUAGAUACCCUGGUAGUCCACGCCGUAAACGUUGGGAACUAGGUG